AUGGAUAAAAGGAAAAAAUUAUAGAUUGGUUUUCUUGUUUUACGUAGAUUGUUUUAAUCUAAUGUAUGGUUUGUAAUUUUUUUAUUACAGUCUGAUGUGGAAAACAAGAGGGGUUCCUUAUCUCCAAAAUACAUAUGUGACAAUUUAUGGAAAUAUUUCAAAAAUACUCGGUUGUGCACAUAUGAACAGUUGUUCAUACCAAUAUGCAGGAAAAAUCAUUGGUAUUUAAUCAUUUUGAAUAUUCAUGCGAAAAGAAUAGAGUUGUUGGAUUCAUUAAUUGACGGAAGGAAAAAACGGAUGGAUGCCUUCAUAGAGAAACUGGUGAACGUUUUGUCAACUGUCAUUGGGAUUCAAGAAAGAAGACCAUCAGUGGACAUGACAGAAUUUGAAUUUGUUGUUCCAGAAGUUGUCCAACAAUUGAAUCCAACGGAUUGUGGCAUAUUUGUAAUCAAGUUUAUGCAAUUAUGGAGUAACCGUGGAAUUUCUCGUGCAAUUGCAAAUGUAUUAUAUUGUGG